UACGAAGGGGGCUAGCGUUGCUCGGAAUCACUGGGCGUAAAGGGUGCGUAGGCGGGUUUUUAAGUCAGGGGUGAAAUCCUGGAGCUCAACUCCAGAACUGCCUUUGAUACUGAAGAUCUUGAGUCCGGGAGAGGUGAGUGGAACUGCGAGUGUAGAGGUGAAAUUCGUAGAUAUUCGCAAGAACACCAGUGGCGAAGGCGGCUCACUGGCUCGUAACUGACGCUCAUGCACGACAGCGUGGGGAUCAAACAGG
rnacentral:rRNA from 1 species